rnacentral:rRNA from 1 species
AACGAACGCUGGCGGCAGGCUUAACACAUGCAAGUCGAGCGCCCCGCAAGGGGAGCGGCAGCCGGGUGAGUAACGCGUGGGAACGUACCUUUUGGUUCGGAACAACUCCGGGAAACUGGAGCUAAUACCGGAUAAGCCCUAACGGGGAAAGAUUUAUCGCCGAAAGAUCGGCCCGCGUCUGAUUAGCUAGUUGGUGAGGUAACGGCUCACCAAGGCGACGAUCAGUAGAUGGUCUGAGAGGAUGAUCAGCCACACUGGGACUGAGACACGGCCCAGACUCCUACGGGAGGCAGCAGUGGGGAAUAUUGGACAAUGGGCGCAAGCCUGAUCCAGCCAUGCCGCGUGAGUGAUGAAGGCCUUAGGGUUGUAAAGCUCUUUUGUCCGGGAAGAUAAUGACUGUACCGGAAGAAUAAGCCCCGGCUAACUUCGUG